CCUACGGGAGGCUGCAGUGAGGAAUAUUGGUCAAUGGACGAGAGUCUGAACCAGCCAAGUAGCGUGAAGGAUGACUGCCCUAUGGGUUGUAAACUUCUUUUAUAUGGGAAUAAAACGUUCCACGUGUGGGAUUUUGUAUGUACCAUAUGAAUAAGGAUCGGCUAACUCCGUGCCAGCAGCCGCGGCAAUACGGAGGAUCCGAGCGUUAUCCGGAUUUAUUGGGUUUAAAGGGAGCGUAGGUGGAUUGUUAAGUCAGUUGUGAAAGUUUGCGGCUCAACCGUAAAAUUGCAGUUGAAACUGGCAGUCUUGAGUACAGUAGAGGUGGGCGGAAUUCGUGGUGUAGCGGUGAAAUGCUUAGAUAUCACGAAGAACUCCGAUUGCGAAGGCAGUUCACUGGACUGCAACUGACACUGAGGCUCGAAAGUGUGGGUAUCAAACAGGAUUAGAUACCCCUGUAGUC
rnacentral:rRNA from 1 species